rnacentral:rRNA from 1 species
AGCGAACGCUGGCGGCAGGCCUAACACAUGCAAGUCGAACGAACCUUUCGGGGUUAGUGGCGGACGGGUGAGUAACACGUGGGAACGUGCCUUUAGGUUCGGAAUAACUCAGGGAAACUUGUGCUAAUACCGAAUGUGCCCUUCGGGGGAAAGAUUAAUCGCCUUUAGAGCGGCCCGCGUCUGAUUAGCUAGUUGGUUGAGGUAAUGGCUCACCAAGGCGACGAUCAGUAGCUGGUCUGAGAGGAUGAUCAGCCACAUUGGGACUGAGACACGGCCCAAAAUACUACGGGAGGCAGCAGUGGGGAAUCUUGCGCAAUGGGCGAAAGCCUGACGCAGCCAUGCCGCGUGAAUGAUGAAGGUCUUAGGAUUGUAAAAUUCUUUCACCGGGGACGAUAAUGACGGUACCCGGAGAAGAAGCCCCGGCUAACUUCGUG